CAGAAAUACUAACCAUGGUAACAGCAGAUUUGAGUUGCAUGGAAUGAAGCAGUGGCUUCUUGAGGAAGAUCGCCUCUUGGGAAGGAAGGGAAUGAUCGCAACAAGAGUCACAGAAGAAAGCUGUUCUGGUGUCAAUUCUUUGGAAUACAGAGAAAACUAGCUCAAGCCCUGAAAUGGCUAUUUUGCACCUGUCUGCCACCUCAUCUGUCUGCUCCUGUCUGCCAUAUGAAGACGUGCUGUCUUACUAGCAAAGUAUCUGUGCUAGAAUAUGGAUUUAAUAACAGGGCACAUUUGGAAGAUGUACACUGCUGAAAGAGUUCUGAACAAUCACAUCUUUACUGUACACAGAGGCCCACAGAUGUCUUGCAAGGACAUAAUUAACCAGGAGAAUUUUUAAGGUGCUGCCCACACAAAGAUACUAAAGAAGAGAAGGGUUUACUUCACUGUGACAAUCAAAGACGUUGGUGGGUACCUGCUACUGGAAAAGCUGCUUCUGGCCAAGAGCAAGCUGGUGGACUCAGAAACUUUCACAGAGCUGGACUGAGGCUGUGGAAUUCACAAAAGAUUAGGGAACCUAUGGAGAUUCCAGGAAGGCCAAAGAAUUUGUCACAGGAAGAAGAGCCUACAGAGAAAAACUGUAGCACCAUAAGAGGCAGUGCUUUCCCUAAUGUCAAAAUUGACUCUCAGAAAGAAAAAGGUGAAUGAAUUGCAACAUAGAAAUUCUGUCCAAGAUGGUCAUAGAUGCUGCUCUGAGCCACAGGAUGAAGGAAUAGAAAACAACACCCAACUUCACACAAAAUGAAAGUAGUCUAUGACACCUCUUUUGAAUGAGCCUAAUCUCCCAGAAACACACUACUGAAAAAAAGAAAGGGAAAUAAUACUUAGCGAUUUUGUGUGGGCUCAGAAAUGAAGAAGCCUUGAUGUGGCCAUUGUCAGCUAUUCUGACGGGAAAUAUUUGCUACUUUAAAAAAAAUUCAGCAUAGGUGAAUUUUGGUACAUUUUUGUCCCAUACGCUGAUGAGAAAAGUAGAAUUGUUCAUCUCUGAAUUCAUGUAUUUAUUCAAUUUACAAAGGUCAGCACGAAGGCAUGAAACACAGAGCCUUCACCACAGCCUCCCUUUUCCCUGGUUACAUCUCAUGAGAUUGAGAGGCAUUUCUUAAUAUAUUACAGUAUGCAG
ensembl:lncRNA